rnacentral:rRNA from 1 species
UAGGCGAAGCGUGCGAUUGGAUUGCACGUCUAAGCAGUAAGGCUGAGUAUUAGGCAAAUCCGGUACUCGUUAAGGCUGAGCUGUGAUGGGGAGAAGACAUUGUGUCUUCGAGUCGUUGAUUUCACACUGCCGAGAAAAGCCUCUAGAUAGAAAAUAGGUGCCCGUACCGCAAACCGACACAGGUAGUCAAGAUGAGAAUUCUAAGGUGAGCGAGCGAACUCUCGUUAAGGAACUCGGCAAAAUGACCCCGUAACUUCGGGAGAAGGGGUGCUCUUUAGGGUUAACGCCCAGAAGAGCCGCAGUGAAUAGGCCCAAGCGACUGUUUAUCAAAAACACAGGUCUCUGCUAAACCGUAAGGUGAUGUAUAGGGGCUGACGCCUGCCCGGUGCUGGAAGGUUAAGAGGAGUGGUUAGCUUCUGCGAAGCUACGAAUCGAAGCCCCAGUAAACGGCGGCCGUAACUAUAACGGUCCUAAGGUAGCGAAAUUCCUUGUCGGGUAAGUUCCGACCCGCACGAAAGGCGUAACGAUUUGGGCACUGUCUCAACGAGAGACUCGGUGAAAUCAUAGUACCUGUGAAGAUGCAGGUUACCCGCGACAGGACGGAAAGACCCCGUGGAGCUUUACUGUAGCCUGAUAUUGAAAUUCGGCACAGCUUGUACAGGAUAGGUAGGAGCCUUUGAAACGUGAGCGCUAGCUUACGUGGAGGCGCUGGUGGGAUACUACCCUAGCUGUGUUGGCUUUCUAACCCGCACCACUUAUCGUGGUGGGAGACAGUGUCAGGCGGGCAGUUUGACUGGGGCGGUCGCCUCCUAAAAGGUAACGGAGGCGCUCAAAGGUUCCCUCAGAAUGGUUGGAAAUCAUUCAUAGAGUGUAAAGGCAUAAGGGAGCUUGACUGCGAGACCUACAAGUCGAGCAGGGUCGAAAGACGGACUUAGUGAUCCGGUGGUUCCGCAUGGAAGGGCCAUCGCUCAACGGAUAAAAGCUACCCCGGGGAUAACAGGCUUAUCUCCCCCAAGAGUUCACAUCGACGGGGAGGUUUGGCACCUCGAUGUCGGCUCAUCGCAUCCUGGGGCUGUAGUCGGUCCCAAGGGUUGGGCUGUUCGCCCAUUAAAGCGGUACGCGAGCUGGGUUCAGAACGUCGUGAGACAGUUCGGUCCCUAUCCGUCGUGGGCGUAGGAAAUUUGAGAGGAGCUGUCCUUAGUACGAGAGGACCGGGAUGGACAUACCUCUGGUGUACCAGUUGUCGUGCCAACGGCAUAGCUGGGUAGCUAUGUGUGGACGGGAUAAGUGCUGAAAGCAUCUAAGCAUGAAGCCCCCCUCAAGAUGAGAUUUCCCAACUUCGGUUAUAAGAUCCCUCAAAGAUGAUGAGGUUAAUAGGUUCGAGGUGGAAGCAUGGUGACAUGUGGAGCUGACGAAUACUAAUCGAUCGAAGACUUAAUCAA